UAGAGUUUGAUCAUGGCUCAGGAUGAACGCUAGCGACAGGCUUAACACAUGCAAGUCGAGGGGCAGCGGGGAGGUAGCAAUACUUCCGCCGGCGACCGGCGCACGGGUGAGUAACACGUAUGGAACCUGCCCGUAGCAGGGGGAUAAACGGAAGAAAUUCCGUCUAAUACCGCGUAAUAACUCCGAGAGGCAUCUCAUGGAGUUUAAAGGGUAACACCGGCUACGGAUGGCCAUGCGGCGCAUUAGCUAGUUGGCGGGGUAACGGCCCACCAAGGCGACGAUGCGUAGGGGUUCUGAGAGGAAGGUCCCCCACACUGGUACUGAGACACGGACCAGACUCCUACGGGAGGCAGCAGUGAGGAAUAUUGGUCAAUGGGCGCGAGCCUGAACCAGCCAAGUCGCGUGAGGGAAGACGGUCCUAUGGAUUGUAAACCUCUUUUGUCGGGGAGCAAAAGACGCCACGUGUGGCGUUCCGAGAGUACCCGAAGAAAAAGCAUCGGCUAACUCCGUGCCAGCAGCCGCGGUAAUACGGAGGAUGCGAGCGUUAUCCGGAUUUAUUGGGUUUAAAGGGUGCGCAGGCGGAAGAUCAAGUCAGCGGUAAAAUUGAGAGGCUCAACCUCUUCGAGCCGUUGAAACUGGUUUUCUUGAGUGAGCGAGAAGUAUGCGGAAUGCGUGGUGUAGCGGUGAAAUGCAUAGAUAUCACGCAGAACUCCGAUUGCGAAGGCAGCAUACCGGCGCUCAACUGACGCUCAUGCACGAAAGUGUGGGUAUCGAACAGGAUUAGAUACCCUGGUAGUCCACACAGUAAACGAUGAAUACUAAUUGUUCGGGGAGAAUGAUCCCUGAGUGAUACAGCGAAAGCGUUAAGUAUUCCACCUGGGGAGUACGCCGGCAACGGUGAAACUCAAAGGAAUUGACGGGGGCCCGCACAAGCGGAGGAACAUGUGGUUUAAUUCGAUGAUACGCGAGGAACCUUACCCGGGCUCAAACGACACAGGAAUACUUUUGAAAGGAGGUAGCUCUACGGAGUCUGUGUCGAGGUGCUGCAUGGUUGUUGUCAGCUCGUGCCGUGAGGUGUCGGCUUAAGUGCCAUAACGAGCGCAACCCCCAUCGCCAGUUACCAGCAAGUCAAGUUGGGGACUCUGGCGAGACUGCCGGCGCAAGCUGUGAGGAAGGCGGGGAUGACGUCAAAUCAGCACGGCCCUUACGUCCGGGGCGACACACGUGUUACAAUGGCAGGUACAGAGAGAAGCAAUGCGGCGACGCAAAGCGGAACUUGAAAACCUGUCUCAGUUCGGAUCGGAGUCUGCAACCCGACUCCGUGAAGCUGGAUUCGCUAGUAAUCGCGCAUCAGCCAUGGCGCGGUGAAUACGUUCCCGGGCCUUGUACACACCGCCCGUCAAGCCAUGGGAGCCGGGGGUGCCUGAAGGCCGUGACCGCGAGGAGCGGCCUAGGGUAAAACCGGUGACUGGGGCUAAGUCGUAACAAGGUAACCGUA
rnacentral:rRNA from 1 species